UUUUAUUGUACCAUCAACAUCAACAAAUACCAGCAUAUUUUCUUUGAGAUUGAGUAGAGUGGACCUUUCCCUUGGUUCACUUCCUGCUCGCAGCAUCAGCUGACCUCUGACUUCCUGGUUAAGGUCUCUCAGCGUUGACUGGAAUAUCAAAUCGGACUCACACCAUGUUCUUGUAAUGUGGUCAUGUCUGUCCGCUGUUUGAAGAGCAUCUCUGGCCUAAACACAAUAGGAAGAACAACAACACGGCAAAAAAAAACAACACAUUUCCAUAUUAGAUGAAGGGCACCGUAACUGGAAAUGAUCCCUGCUGUUCCCCAGCUGCCCUGUAGGUUUGUGCUUUGACCUCCAGAGGGCGACAAAUCAGCACAGACAGAGAGCUCCAUUCAAACUUUGCUGCCAUCAGGAAUAAUUCUUCAAAUAUAAUCAUCAGUGUUUGAGCAGUUAUGAUAUCAGGGACAAUCUAGACAUGUGUGACAAUACUGAACAUGUCACAUGACACACCUCAAACAUCAUGUGAUCCACUCUCAGUCUGCACUUUCAUUCAUGACUUCAACAGGUUGAAAUGAGCUUUGAAGAAACAUUCAGUGAAAUAAAUCUUUCAUGGAUUCAUGUGAGCAGCAGAUGAACUUUACAAAGAAUCAGUGGAUUUAUCUUCUGUUUUAGAUCAACUUUGAUCACUUCGAGCCAUCUUAAGUCCGUUUGUUCUUCUCACUCACUAACGUCUCGUAUGAUUUCAGAUCCCUGCUGUUCCCCAGCUGCCCUGUAGGUGGCCUCAGUGUGUCUCACACCAUUUACAGAUGAUUACAGGAAAGUGUAGGAGAGCAACAGAUGAACAAGCGUUACUGUAACAGGAAACAUCAGAGGACCUGAGGUCAGGGCGUCACACAAACAGCUUUAACUGCACAACGACACACUUUAAAUCAUCUGCAGACAAACCUGUGUGUUUGAUUUAUGAAGAAAUAAUAAAGACGUGUGUACAGCUGUCCAUGAAGCAGCUUCUCACACAAACUCUGACACUUCAGCCACUUUAAUUCCUGCAAAGCUGCGUAAUAAAGAGCUGUGACUGCUAUGAGCUGCUGAUGAUGACUGCAUGAAGCUCUCAGCCGAAGCUUCUUUCAUUUAUUUUAAUGUUAAUGUCGCCUUUUUAAGUCUGUGUGAGGAUUUUAAUGACACACAUUAAAGGAGCUUCUUUGAUUAGAACC
ensembl:lncRNA